AAGAUUUACAAGGUCUUAGCUGAGAUAGUCGACAUCUUAUCUGCAUUCUUCAAGUAGUUACUGGUUUAUCUGAUGUGAGAGGACCUUAUUUGGACAACCUAUGCGAGACGGGCAGUUUUGUUAGGUUCUCUAGGUCAUUUCUAUUGACAUCAGUCGGAUGAUUUGUAUCAUAUGGAUCGAAGAUUGACAUUCCGGCCACAUCUGCUACUAGUUGGUGCUUUGUUAUUAGGACGUAGAGUGCAAGUAAUAAGGAAACCUUCUUGAUUACUA